rnacentral:rRNA from 1 species
UACGUAGGGGGCAAGCGUUGUUCGGAUUUAUUGGGCGUAAAGGGCAUGUAGGCUGUUGCACAAGUGUGGGUUGAAAGACUAAAGCUUAACUUUAUGUUUGGCCUGCAAACUGUGUUACUUGAGUGCAGAAGGGGAGACUGGAAUUCCACGUGUAGGGGUGAAAUCUGUAGAGAUGUGGAAGAAUACCUGUGGCGAAGGCGAGUCUCUGGUCUGUAACUGACGCUGAAAUGCGAAAGUGUGGGGAG